rnacentral:lncRNA from 1 species
GCCGUGUUCUCCUCUGUGUUUUCUUUCUGGUGUCGCUCCGCUCCGGCUGCUUCAGCGGGAGUUUCUUUUGACAGACAUGGAGUAUAAGCUCAUCAUGGCUGUAUCCGGCUUCCCGAGUCUUUACGACACGAACUCCCUGACCUACCGGGACCUGAACAUGAGAGGCGACGCGUGGAGGCAGGUCGCGGAGAUCGUCGGUGUUCCCGAGUCUGAGUGCAGGAGGAAGUGGAAGACGCUGAGAGACCAGCACAGGAGGGAAAGGCAGCGUGAGAAGGAGCGGCGUGAGAGCGGCAUCGGGCUCCACAACUACAGGCCGUGGAGAUACUCGUCCAUACUGUCCUUCCUAAACCCGUUCAUCGAUGCCCGGGCGGCGGGAACCAACGGCUGGGCUCUAGACCCGCAUCCCUCUCACGUGUCUGAGCUGGUCGGCUGCAGCACGACCACAGAUGUCACCCGUAGUGACGACGACGAGAGUUACGGUUUUGCUGUCGCAGAUGCUACAACAACAUCAUCAUCAUCCUCAGAGUUCCUCCACAGGAAGCGGCAGUCGUCCGUCAGCUGCGACCUCAUCAGGGCUAAAGAGGCAAAGACUGAGAUGAACUCAGGCGCUGCGGUGACAGACGAAGGCAUGCAGCCUCACGCCAACAUGAAGGAGCUGUUCGAGAUGAUGAUGCAUUCGGUUACGUCUUUGGCUGCGUCCCUGGCCUCUUCACAGUCUUCGCUUCUGUCCUCAGACCAGCCGCAGGCCGCGGUGCCACCGGCCGUUGCUCAGCCUGACCCACGGGCUCGCCGCAGCCCGCUGGCCAGGCUGAACCAGCUGAAGACAGAGCAGCAGGAUGGGGAGGUGGCUCAACUGUUGGUCCAAACAGAUGAUGAUGAUGAUGAGGG